GUACUUUUCACCACUACGAGAAUGGUCUCCAGACUAUACUGUAAUUGGAAAAAUAUUUGCAUUAUCUUUUCUUCAAAAUGGACCACUCCCCAAGCUGCUUAGUGUUGAACAGUUAGAGGAAUUGUUUGAAAGUUCCAGACCCAGGCCAGUAAUCCAAGACCUUAGAAAUGGCUUAAAUGCACUUGGUUUGUUACAGUUGGUGAAGGAGUUGCCAUCCUUGGUCCAUCUUUUUACGCCAGGGUCCUGACCAUUCAACCUGAAAAUUAUUACAACUUUGUUUAAACCUGCCUUUGCACCAGAAGGUUCAAACAGACAAAUCAGGCAAUUGAUAAUUUACAAGAAAUUUGUAAAAUACCUAAAAGAAGUAGCAGCUGGAAGAAGAGGUAAUCUUACUCUCCGCCAUAUUCUCAUGUUUGCAACAAGUUCGGAAGAAGAACCAAUCUUGGGUUUUACACUUCAACCUUCACUCAACUUUGUACAAAGAGAAUCAUUCAUGCCAACAGCAAAC